rfam:Alligator mississippiensis ScZkoYb_28, whole genome shotgun sequence.
UGGUUCAGUGGUAGAAUCCUUGUCUCUGACACAGGAGACCUGGGUUCAGUUCCCAG